AUAAAAAACCAAUGCCCUUCGGGGCUCCUUGGUGAUUCAUAAUAACUUAACGAAUCGCAUGGCCUUGUGCCGGCGAUGGUUCAUUCAAAUUUCUGCCCUAUCAACUUUCGAUGGUAGAGUAGUGGUCGACCAUGGUUUCAACGGGUAACGGGGAAUUAGGGUUCUAUUCCGGAGAGGGAGCCUGAGAAACGGCUACCACAUCCAAGGAAGGCAGCAGGCGCGCAAAUUACCCAAUCCCGACACGGGGAGGUAGUGACAAUAAAUACUGAUACAGGGCUCUUUUGGGUCUUGUAAUUGGAAUGAGUACAAUUUAAAUCCCUUAACGAGGAACAAUUGGAGGGCAAGUCUGGUGCCAGCAGCCGCGGUAAUUCCAGCUCCAAUAGCGUAUAUUAAAGUUGUUGCUGUUAAAAAGCUCGUAGUUGAAUUUUGGGUCUUAAUAUGAGGUCCGCCAAACAGCGAGUACUUCAUAUUGAGGCCUCCCUUUCUGGGGGUCCUAUCUGCUCUUAAUUGGGUGGGUA
rnacentral:rRNA from 1 species